rnacentral:tRNA from 1 species
GGGGUUGUGGCUCAGCGGUAGAGCGCUCGCCUAGCGCUUGAGAGGCCCUGGGUUUGAUCCUCAGCACCA